UCCUUAGUGGUCUAAUGGUUAGGAAUUCGGCAUUAUCACUGCUGUGGCUUGGGUUCGAUCCCCAUCCACGGAA
rnacentral:tRNA from 1 species